GCAAGUCGAACGGAGUGCCCAUGACAGAGGAUUCGUCCAAUGGAUUGAGUUACUUAGUGGCGGACGGGUGAGUAACGCGUGAGGAACCUGCCUCGGAGUGGGGAAUAACACAACGAAAGCUGUGCUAAUACCGCAUGAUACAGUUGGGUCGCAUGACUCUGACUGUCAAAGAUUUAUCGCUCUGAGAUGGCCUCGCGUCUGAUUAGCUAGUUGGUGGGGUAACGGCCCACCAAGGCGACGAUCAGUAGCCGGACUGAGAGGUUGACCGGCCACAUUGGGACUGAGACACGGCCCAGACUCCUACGGGAGGCAGCAGUGGGGAAUAUUGGGCAAUGGGCGCAAGCCUGACCCAGCAACGCCGCGUGAAGGAAGAAGGCUUUCGGGUUGUAAACUUCUUUUCUCAGGGACGAAGCAAGUGACGGUACCUGAGGAAUAAGCCACGGCUAACUACGUGCCAGCAGCCGCGGUAAUACGUAGGUGGCAAGCGUUAUCCGGAUUUACUGGGUGUAAAGGGCGUGUAGGCGGGAUCGCAAGUCAGAUGUGAAAACUGGAGGCUCAACCUCCAGCCUGCAUUUGAAACUGUGGUUCUUGAGUACUGGAGAGGCAGACGGAAUUCCUAGUGUAGCGGUGAAAUGCGUAGAUAUUAGGAGGAACACCAGUGGCGAAGGCGGUCUGCUGGAC
rnacentral:rRNA from 1 species